UGGUGUCUGUCUGAUUAGUGUUUUCUUCGUCUUGCUAAUUGCGGUUAUAAAUCAAUGUUCCAUGUCACGUGUAUGGAUGGUGCUGUUAAUUAAUUUUUAAAUUUUAAUUGCGAUUAUAAAUUAAUGUUUGAUGUUCAGGCGCAUGGUUACUAAGAAAAAUCUCAUCAAUUCGUUGUCAAAUAUGACAGUGUUUAAUGGUCAGAAAAAAAAAAAUAUGACAAAUUUCAUUUUUCUCAACUACCCAAGAGCCAAAUAUUUGAUUUUUCUCUGUGGUUUGUUAUUUUACCGAAUUUGGUUGUUGAUAUUUCGUUUUUUUUAUAGUUCAUUUGUGUUCUGUUGGGCUUGUAUUUUACUAGAAUUUCAUAGAAUUUGAUUGGGCUGCGUAACUGAUUGGCUUAAAAUUUUGUGAUAUUAAAUAUUUCUUGAAUUUGAUCAUUAGAUUUCCCCUUUUUUUUUGGAAGUUGACGUGCUUUCCCAUUCAUCGCCAAAACAAACCCGUGCUGCCUCCCCCUUCGUCUUCUCCUCCAGCAAUUUGCGCCUUUAGUUCUCAAUUGGAUUCACGGUAAAAACCCAGAAACAUAAGAGAAUCUGAUCUGGCUUUUGCUGGGAUUUCAGAGUAAAAACGUUGAAACUUAAAGAUCUUACCCCGCAGUGCUCAAUCCAGAGAAUUGGUACUCAUAAUCAAUAAGAUUUAUACGGCUUAUUGGUAUCAAUUUUGGUUGCAGCAAUGCUAUUCUUGCUGAAGACCUGCCAUAAAUUCAAAGCACGCAGAGAUCUCGAGUAAAAAACAGAGCAACUCUUGCACAGCGAAAUGACUCCCACCACCCAACAAACGCAACUGCUACAAUUUCAAUUGCAGUUCUUGAAGAAAGUGUGAAAGUUUUGAGCUUUGAAGAAGCAGAGGAGGAGAGUUUCCAGUCCAUCUUCAGGUAAGCUUGACAGCCACAGAUCAGGGUGUGGAGAGGAUGGAGAAAGUUAUCCUGCUGAUUAACAAGAGUCACAACAGUAGCAGAAUCCACCUCCACCUCAACAGAUCUAAAACCUCUCAUCCAAGCCAAGCGUAAACCAAAAAAAAAGGCAUAUGGAUUCGCAUGGAUUUCGCGGAGCUGGAGAAAGAUACUGCCUCUAGAGAUGAGUGGUUACUGAUGUGUAGAAAGCAAAUUGUUUUCUUGCAGAUGAUAUAAAUCAAAGAUGACAUUCAUUAUGGUCAAAUAAACUCAGGUUGAAUAAAUCACUCAUGGAAUUUGUUUUGCAAAAACUAUUAAUUUUGUUUUGAUUGCAAAUUUAAUUGUUUUCUUAACAUACAGUUUUAUCAAAUUCAAUUUUUCUCAUUUUCAAAUUUUCCGCGGACCACAUUUUUUCCCUUUGCAGCUUUUUAUGUCUUUGAAAAAGGUAUGUCAUGUUUUUAACGUUUUGGGUUUUACAUGUUACUUCGACUUUUAUUGUCUGCCUCCUUCAGCAUUACUUACAUUCAUUUUCCAGUAUUGGCUGAUAAAAAUUUAUAAAAUACUUAAGAUUUUAAUUAGAAAGUUAAAAAUUUUAGCCAUAUUUUUAGUCGUAUGUUCUGUGUCAUUCUAAUUCAAAGAUUGGAAAAUGACUGAAAUAAUAUUUUCUUCCUUCUGUCUUUCAAAUUUCCAUUUGGUCCAAUUUUAUAUUUCAUUUCUUUGUGACUUUUUGCAAAACUUGGAAUCAGGUUUUCAGGUAACAUGGACGAUGAAUGUAAGAAACUCAUACAUAGAAUAACUCCACCAAGUUGUAUUCACAACUGUCCAAGACACUCUUUGGAAUUUAUUACAACAAAAUGUCAAUUUUUCCUUCUUUGGAAACACCUCAAGCUAAGAACAAGUCUGGUAUCCAAGCUUUACAUUCAACAUUGUUUAGCAUGUAGCAAGCUUUGUUUGACUGGUAUACUCUCAAUACUGGAUUUGUAAGUUAUGCAGUUAUCGUUAGUUCAACUUUUUGAAUGAACAAUUAUCUUCUUCUUUGCACUUUGUAAGAAUAUAUUUUUCUCUUGGUAUCCAAAUUUGUUCCGUUCAUGAUAAGA